UUCUCGUUAUAUCACCGAAGUCAAGCAUCAUUGGGCGCGGUCAGUACUUGGGUGGGUGACCACCUGGGAACACCGCGUGCCGUUG